GAUGAACGCUAGCGGCAGGCUUAACACAUGCAAGUCGAGGGGGUAUGCCGAUUUAUCGGCAGAGACCGGCGCACGGGUGCGUAACGCGUAUGCAAUCUACCCUUUCACAGAGGGAUAGCCCAGAGAAAUUUGGAUUAAUACCUCAUAGUAUAGCAAUUUCGCAUGAAACCACUAUUAAAGUUCCAACGGUGAAAGAUGAGCAUGCGUCCCAUUAGCUAGAUGGUAAGGUAACGGCUUACCAUGGCUACGAUGGGUAGGGUCCUGAGAGGGAGAUCCCCCACACUGGACUGAGACACGGACCAGACUCCUACGGGGAGCAGCAGUGAGG
rnacentral:rRNA from 1 species